AUUGAACGCUGGCGGCAGGCCUAACACAUGCAAGUCGGACGGUAGCACAGAGAGCUUGCUCUCGGGUGACGAGUGGCGGACGGGUGAGUAAUGUCUGGGGAUCUGCCCGAUAGAGGGGGAUAACCACUGGAAACGGUGGCUAAUACCGCAUAACGUCGCAAGACCAAAGAGGGGGACCUUCGGGCCUCUCACUAUCGGAUGAACCCAGAUGGGAUUAGCUAGUAGGCGGGGUAACGGCCCACCUAGGCGACGAUCCCUAGCUGGUCUGAGAGGAUGACCAGCCACACUGGAACUGAGACACGGUCCAGACUCCUACGGGAGGCAGCAGUGGGGAAUAUUGCACAAUGGGCGCAAGCCUGAUGCAGCCAUGCCGCGUGUAUGAAGAAGGCCUUCGGGUUGUAAAGUACUUUCAGCGGGGAGGAAGGCGAUGUGGUUAAUAACCGCAUUGAUUGACGUUACCCGCAGAAGAAGCACCGGCUAACUCCGUGCCAGCCGCCGCAGUAA
rnacentral:rRNA from 1 species